rnacentral:snoRNA from 1 species
GCAAUCAUAAUCUUUUUAUUAUUGGUAAAGUUAAUUUAUAUAGUGUAUUUAAUAAAUAACAAUUAUAUAAUUAGUUUUAUUAAUGUUCAUAUUAAUAAUAUCUUUUAAUAAAUUAACUCAAAUUAUUCUUUUAAUUAAAUAUUUUUAUAAUAAUACUUUUAUAAGAUUAUUAAGUUAAUAAUAAAUUAGAUAAUACAACUAAAAUUUUCCAAUAUAUAAAGUUUUAUAUAAUUAGUAGUUAGUUUAAAUUAAAUAUAUAUUUAUAUAAAUACAAAUACUAUGAUGUUUAAUAACAUAAUUAGUCCAUUAGAACAAUUUGAAA